rnacentral:rRNA from 1 species
AACGAACGCUGGCGGCGUGCCUAACACAUGCAAGUCGAACGGGGAUAGGGAGCUUGCUUCCUAUUCUAGUGGCGCACGGGUGAGUAACGCGUGGAUAAUCUGCCUGACGAUCUGGGAUAACAUCUCGAAAGGGGUGCUAAUACCGGAUAAGCCCACGGGGACUUUGGUUCUUGCGGGAAAAGGGGGGGACCUUUUGGCCUUCUGUCGUCAGAUGAGUCCGCGUACCAUUAGCUAGUUGGUAGGGUAAAGGCCUACCAAGGCUACGAUGGUUAACUGGUUUGAGAGAAUGAUCAGCCACACUGGAACUGAGACACGGUCCAGACUCCUACGGGAGGCAGCAGUGGGGAAUUUUGCGCAAUGGGCGAAAGCCUGACGCAGCAACGCCGCGUGAGUGAUGAAGGCUUUCGGGUCGUAAAGCUCUGUCAGGGGGAAAGAAGUGUAUUAUGGUUAAUACCCAUGAUACUUGACGGUACCCCCAAAGGAAGCACCGGCUAACUCCGUGCCAGCCGCCGCUGUAAGAC